AUGUUGUAUGAAAGGAGAGGUUAGCACUCCCUUUGACAAGGAUAGAAGAGGCCCUCAGGUCUUACAGCAUGCAUUCAGUGAGGGGUUUUCACUAAAAUUUUUU
rnacentral:ncRNA from 1 species